GCAGGCGCGCAAAUUACCCACUCCCGGCACGGGGAGGUAGUGACGAAAAAUAACGAUACGGGACUCAUCCGAGGCCCCGUAAUCGGAAUGAGUACACUCUAAACCCUUUAACGAGGAUCAAUUGGAGGGCAAGUCUGGUGCCAGCAGCCGCGGUAAUUCCAGCUCCAAUAGCGUAUAUUAAAGUUGUUGCGGUUAAAAAGCUCGUAGUCGAAUCUGUGUCUCGCGCCGCCGGUUCAUCGCUCGCGGUGUCUAACUGGCGUGUCGCGGGACGUCCUGCCGGUGGGCUUAGCUCCGCGAGGGGCGGCCCAACCCAAACAUCCCGCCGCGGUGCUCUUCGCUGAGUGUCGAGGCGGGCCGGCACGUUUACUUUGAACAAAUUAGAGUGCUUAAAGCAGGCUAAAACUUCGCCUGAAUAUUCUGUGCAUGGAAUAAUGGAAUAGGACCUCGGUUCUAUUUUGUUGGUUUUCGGAACCCCGAGGUAAUGAUUAAUAGGAACGGAUGGGGGCAUUCGUAUUGCGACGUUAGAGGUGAAAUUCUUGGAUCGUCGCAAGACGGACGGAAGCGAAAGCAUUUGCCAAAAACGUUUUCAUUGAUCAAGAACGAAAGUUAGAGGUUCGAAGGCGAUCAGAUACCGCCCUAGUUCUAACCAUAAACGAUGCCAGCUAGCGAUCCGCCGACGUUCCUCCGAUGACUCGGCGGGCAGCUUCCGGGAAACCAAAGCUUUUGGGUUCCGGGGGAA
rnacentral:rRNA from 1 species